CUUAUCACUUCCGGUUCUGCUUCACAACAUGUGGGGGCAAAUUUACGAUGUUGUUUAUCAUACAAUAUACAGCUGUCAUCAACGAAAUUCUAAUAGUGUUUAUUCCUUAUAUAUCUCUAAAGACAACUGAAGCUAAGUUUGUAUCACAGAAAUGUAUAAUAUCAUUUGAAAUUAACUUUUGAAAAGUAUCGCUCUUCACAAGAAUAUGAAGAAAUAACAACUGAAGAAAGCAGACUUGUUUAUAGUGUUAUCCCACAGGGAAUGGAUGUUUACUACUUAUAUUUCACUCAGAGUUUAUACAGCACACUGUUACAAACUCGAUAUAGAGUUUCAACAGGGUAAUUAAAAUUUACAAAUGGAAACUUGACGAGGAUUGAAGACAAAAUACAGACAGUCAGAGGCCUUUUCAAUGCCAAAUGCAAAAUACUUCUCAAAGUUGAAAGUGGUACCUUCUACCAGUCAUCCAGCGUCAUUCAAAGUUACUAAAGCUGAAAUUGAAACCUUGAAGAAAGUGAUACAUUGUAUACAUGAUUUUCUAGAGGAACUACAAAUUAGAUACAUAACAGACAUAGAGCUAUCACAGACACAGUACAUAUAAUGUAUUGGAAGCAGCAUUUUAUAAGAUAUCAAUAAGACAGUGGAAAUACUACAUUGUACUCUUUUGGAUGAAUUAUAGCCUAAGAAGAUCUGAUCUUACAUUAAGGACUGGGCCAUACAUUUUUUGCCCUAACCCUACAAGUGGGUUGUUUAGAAAGGACUGAAUUGGCUUGUGUGUCUGCAUCUCUAAAGAAAAAGACUUGAUUGACUAUCUGUAAAAACAAAAAAAUUAUAGAAUAAUAAAGAAAAAAUUGCUAACUGAUUUUUCUAUUUCCUUUGAAAAUAGAGCUCUAUAUAUGUGAGACUUAAAUAUUUACUGAUAACUAUCUGGCUGCAGCAGUGUAAACUAUUUGUAAAAACAUGAUAAAGCUUUA